rnacentral:lncRNA from 1 species
CAACUUUAAAUUAGAAUUUAAACCAAUAUUUAAAUCUCCCAACUUAACAAAUUUAUUUAUUUUAUCUCGUUACUUAUUAUUUAAUUGAUUUUUUUUUAAACAAGGCAGUCGGCAUUCAUUAAAAUGUAAUAAAUAAAGAAACAAGAAACUAAUGCGGCCUUUACUCCCUCACUUUAUUCUUUCAACAAUAUCCUUCGAUAGUCUUCUUCUGCCUCCAUCGCUGCCGAUUGAGGAAAUCCAUUUUGCGGCUAAGUAACCUCUACUCUUUUAAGCCCUUCCACUGCUAAUGCAUGUGCCACUUUAUUCGCCAUUCUUGAGGUAUUUUUAAACACGCAUGCUUCGUAGCCAGAUCUUAGCAUUUUUUGUGCUUAAGACAUCGGCACUGAUUCCCGAUUUAUAUAUUUUUCCGGAUUGCACCUUUUUUAUAACUGAUAGCGCAUUGCCUUCGAUUUCAACUUUUCCUAAUCCCAGAUCCAACCUUAAUUGAGCUGCCUGGACACAGGCAAUCGCCUCUGUUUCAAAAUCGGCUGGUAUAUGCUCAUUUAGGCGCAUGGUAAAGUUUAGCACCCUCCCACUUGAAUUUCUGACCACUAUCCCUGAGCAUGACCUAUUGCUUUGUUUGUGAAAUGCAGCGUCAAAGGUAAUUUUACGAACAAUUCCCCCGGUGAUCUCCAACGCUCCCCCUCUAUUCUUCGUGCAGGUAACCUUUUGUUAAACUCCUCUAGUUCCUGUAUGUAACUUGUGAUGAAACUGGCUAUUUUUUAUUCAUUUUGAAAUAUCCCCUCAUGUAGGUAUUUGUUCCUAGUCCACAAAGCCCAGAAUGAGCAAACUAUUAUUCGACAGUUUUAUAUUGAACCAUUAUUGUAAAGGUACAACAUCCAUUCUUUAAAAUGUCUUUUAUUUAAUUUCGGCAGCUAAUCUAUGGCUUUCUCCGGGUAUUCUUUGCAGCUAAACAAUCCCGAAAGGCACGCUUAGCAUUUUCCACUUCGCUUGUACAAUUAGGACACUUGGCAGAUCCCACUAUCCUCCUUUGGUAUAGAUUAAAGACCCUCGAAUUCAUAAUUUUUAUUUUUGAAGGUAGAUCUAGGGACCAGAGUUUUUUUGAAAAAAGUGUUGUAAUCUUGUUGUUCAUUGUUGAGAGUAGUCGAGUGUGUCUCUUGUAUAAGUAUUUUGUAUCCACUCCUUACUGAGUAUUCGCCAGAAGCCUCACCUCACCAUACCAGUCUAUCUUUUUGUGGUGCAUAUGGAAAAGGGAUACACAAAAUCAUUUCAGCCUCUUCUUCAUUAAAGGUAGUUCUAAGUACCCCUUCCUUCCAACCAUUAGUAGUUUGGUCAAUUAAAUCCGACACAUAACGUAUAUGUUGAUUGUUUUCUUGUGUUUGAAAUUUGAAAUUUGCAACACUUGGCACCCACAUGUCUUCCCAAACCAGAACUUGAUUUCCUGAUCCGAUUCAUCAGCACAAACCUUUCUUUAGUAGCCCUUUCGUUGCCCACACACUUUUCCAGGUAUAUGACGGUAAAUUUCUCAACCUAGCAUUUAAGAAAUUUGUUUCUGGAUAAUAUUUAACCUUUAACAAUCUUGCCAAUAAAGAAUUUGGGUAAGAAAUAAAACGCCAACCUUG